GCAGUCUUUAGUGUGUGUGUAAUGUAGAAUGGAAGUAGUGCAGUUGAACAAUAGACAGUGAACACCAGUUGAUGUGCAUAAAGUGAGGCUAACUGAUGUCAGCCAUACAGAAAGUGCAAAUACACAGUUAUAUAAUUAUUUAAAUUCAGCAGUGCAAAAAAUAUGUAAACAGUAGAUGGAUGAACCAGUGAAUGAACUACUAGUGCAAAAUAGGGUACAACUAUAAAAAUAGUGUUAUAGGCAUCAGCAAGUCUGAGAGUAGCUGAGGGUGUGUCCAUGGUGUGGCCAGAGUUGCCAGGGUGAAAAAGUGUCACAGAGUCUUUAGUUUGCUGUGCUGAGAGGAGUUGAAAAGUCUUAUGGCCUGAGGAACAAAAGACAAGGAUGUGCUCAGGCAGCCUCACAUCCUGUCGGUCUGCACAGGACAAGAAAAACCCUCCUGAUUCUGAGAACAUGCUGCUUGUUCCUGUUUAAAUGCUGGGUGAAGUUGGUUGGCAUUUUUCCUUCUUUAGGUAAACGUUGCAUGAAUAGUACACUGAGUUACUAUCUGCCCAUUCAGACAAAGUCGCAUUGCACCAAAUUGGAAAGGAUUGGCCAGAGAAUCCACUGUAGAUCCUGCUAUCUGAAGACCCUGAAGUCUAAGGAGGUUCAGUGAAAUUGAUCCAUGUCAGCUUCAUUCAUGCCUGUUAUACUGUAGCCCUGUGAGAGAGACACAGAAACAAGAAAUAACAUUAGCCUUAGUACAAGGUAAAUCUGCCUGUAAAAGCAGUGCUUUCAAAAACAUGAAAAACUGCAUGAAUGAAUGUCUGAUUAAAUAUCCUUAAAAUGUAUCAAUAUACUUAAAAGUACUAUUGAUUUGUUACAGUUUUUGAACAAUAUCCUUCUGUUCAUUGUGAUGUUAUGCAGCAUUGUUUGACCUUAUGUAAAUAAUGAAUUAAAGAUAAUAAAAUAAAACAUAAAAACA
rnacentral:lncRNA from 1 species